UUGUCUGUUAUUAUUUUUAAAAGGAGGAAGUUAUGGCAGAGGAACAUCGGUUUGCUAGAGAUUUUGUUUAAGCAAUCAAACUGAAAGUAGACGUGGUCAAAUGAUUGUUAUCAACAUUAAUAUAGGCAUUUUUAUGAAAUUUAAUUUCAACAUGAUGCAGCUACUUGAAAUCCAUUUGCAAAAGAAAAUGAAAAUCCUGUUCAUUAUCAAAGUUCAAAGAAUGUAUUUACUAUAAAAUGGCCUCUGUCAAACCACAGUAAUACCAAUG